AAUAGCUGCGAUUGUGCUUAUCUCCAUCUCAUUACUCAUCAUCAUCAUUCUUAUUAUUGUAUAUUGCGGGGAAAGAAGGCGGUCUUAUUUUGGAAAACAUAGAGUAUCCAGACGUGGAAAACAAAAUCCAACAUUUGAAAGUACGAAGAGUCAACAGAAAUGCCAGGUGGAUCCAGCAGAAAGCCUCAGACACAAUAAGCAGUUGCGUAACAAGCAAAAGAAUGGCGGUCUGAAUACAGCUAUAAUACUAAUCUACAAGCGAUAGAAAUUUCAAACAUAACCUUUUUUUAUAAAUUUACUCCAACUAUAAUAUGAAUUAUGACAACUAAUUUAUUUCUAGUGGAAAUUAAGAAAUUAUUUCAUAUAUCGUAAUAGCAUAUUCUCCAACAUGAAUGAACCUGCCAAAUUAUAGAAUAUACAGUAACAAAGUCAAUAACAUUGAAUAGAAAUAUAGCUAAUCCCAAAUGGAAAUUUUACUUGUCCGUGUUUUCAAAAUGCACAUGAUAAAACGAUUCUUUGUUCACAUCUUCCACUAUUCAAUAAUUAUGAUAAAUGUCCAAGCCAUUUUGCUGUGUUUUUUAUUAAAAAAUAAUCAAUUUUGUAGAAUAUUCCUGCAAUUAAACUACAUCUACAUA